CCACAAUAAGAGCCUUUAUUUCAAAAUAAAAGCCUGUGAGGUUGCUGUAGACCUGACAGAAUUCAUCAGUCUGUCCAUCCUCUAACAUCCCAGACCGCAGAUUCAAAUCUGGACAUUUUCUCUAUGCAUGUGACCCCAAACCCAGAAUUAACACGUUCACACUCCGGACAAAACAGCAGACUUGUGUCUCACCACAGGAAGAAAAAUAAAUGCAUGAAUU